ACGGGUGAGUAACGCGUGGGAAUCUACCCAUCUCUACGGAAUAACGCAUGGAAACGUGUGCUAAUACCGUAUACGUCCUUCGGGAGAAAGAUUUGUCGGAGAUGGAUGAGCCCGCGUUGGAUUAGCUAGUUGGUGGGGUAAAGGCCUACCAAGGCGACGAUCCAUAGCUGGUCUGAGAGGAUGAUCAGCCACACUGGGACUGAGACACGGCCCAGACUCCUACGGGAGGCAGCAGUGGGGAAUAUUGGACAAUGGGCGCAAGCCUGAUCCAGCCAUGCCGCGUGAGUGAUGAAGGCCCUAGGGUUGUAAAGCUCUUUCACCGGUGAAGAUAAUGACGGUAACCGGAGAAGAAGCCCCGGCUAACUUCGUGCCAGCAGCCGCGGUAAUACGAAGGGGGCUAGCGUUGUUCGGAUUUACUGGGCGUAAAGCGCACGUAGGCGGACUAUUAAGUCAGGGGUGAAAUCCCGGGGCUCAACCCCGGAACUGCCUUUGAUACUGGUAGUCUUGAGUUCGAGAGAGGUGAGUGGAAUUCCGAGUGUAGAGGUGGAAUUCGUAGA
rnacentral:rRNA from 1 species